rnacentral:rRNA from 1 species
AUUGAACGCUGGCGGCAGGCCUAACACAUGCAAGUCGAGCGCGCGGCGGACGGGUGAGUAAUGUAUGGGGACUGCCCGAUAGGGGGGGAUAACUAUUGGAGACGGUAGCUAAUACCGCAUACUAUCGGAUAACGCCUAUGGGAUUAUCUAGUAGGUGGGGUAAUGGCUCACCGAGGCGACGAGCCCUAGCUGGUCUGAGAGGAUGAUCAGCCACACUGGGACUGAGACACGGCCCAGACUCCUACGGAGGCAGCAGUGGGGAAUAUUGCACAAUGGGCGCAAGCCUGAUGCAGCCAUGCCGCGUGUAUGAAGAAGGCCUUAGGGUUGUAAAGUACUUUCAGUCGGGAGGCGUUACCGACAGAAGAAGCACCGGCUAACUCCGUGCCAGCAGCCGCGGUAAUUC